rnacentral:rRNA from 1 species
UGAACGCUGGCGGCGUGCCUAACACAUGCAAGUCGAACGAGAACGGGUAUUAGUUUACUAAUACUGUCAGCUAAGUGGCGCACGGGUGAGUAAUAUAUAGUUAAUCUGCCCCAAAGAAGAGAAUAAUUGUUGGAAACGACUUGUAAUGCUCUAUAUGCCUUUAUCACAUAAGUGAGCAAGGGAAACAUUUAUGGCUUUGGGAUGAGACUGUACGGUAUCAGUUAGUUGGUGAGGUAAUGGCUCACCAAGACUAUGACGCCUAACUGGUUUGAGAGGAUGAUCAGUCACACUGGAACUGAGACACGGUCCAGACUCCUACGGGAGGCAGCAGUGGGGAAUAUUGCACAAUGGAGGAAACUCUGAUGCAGCAACGCCGCGUGGAGGAUGACACAUUUCGGUGCGUAAACUCCUUUUAUAUGAGAAGAUAAUGACGGUAUCAUAUGAAUAAGCACCGGCUAACUCC